CAGAAUAGACAUCAUGCAGAGCUCCCAG
rnacentral:piRNA from 1 species